rnacentral:rRNA from 1 species
GUAGUUAGCCGGGGCUUCCUCCUCGGGUACCGUCACUUCCUUCUUCCCCAAGGACAGAAGUUUACAAUCCGAAAACCUUCUUCCUUCACGCGGCGUUGCUGGGUCAGGCUUUCGCCCAUUGCCCAAUAUUCCCCACUGCUGCCUCCCGUAGGAGUCUGGGCCGUAUCUCAGUCCCAGUGUGGCCGAUCAACCUCUCAGUCCGGCUACCCAUCGCCGACUUGGUGGGCCUUUACCCUCACCAACUAUCUAAUGGGACGCGAGCCCCUCUUUCAGCGGAUUUCUCCUUUUACCCCUUGAUCAUGUGAUCUUGUGGUCUCAUGCGGUAUUAGCAUCAGUUUCCCGAUGUUAUCCCCCUCUGAAAGGCAGGUUGCUCACGCGUUACUCACCCGUUCGCCACUAAAAAUAUCCCGUUUCCAGCCGAAACCUUCCACUGGAUAUUCUCCGUUCGACUUGCAUGUGUUAAGCACGCCGCCAGCGUUCGUCCUGAGCCAGAAUCGAACCUCGACGUACGUAGACGGCGGUGGCGACGACGGCGACUA